rnacentral:lncRNA from 1 species
AGGCUCUCCCCAAAGCUCGGAACCAUGAGAUGAAUCGUCCCUCUGACCGGGCCUGCCUCUGAGACAUGGAAUCAAGCCGUUUGUGGAGGCCAUCAACUGAGGUGCGCAGAUCCGCAACCUCUUCUUUCAUGGAACGUAACAUUGGCCUGGUAGAUUGAGACCUGGAGAAGCCGGCCCCAGUGUGGGGGCGGCGAGAUGGUCCGGCACUAUCAACUGACCGUCUGGCUGGUGCGACGUGAGUUGGGGAAUCAUCAUCAUCAUCUAUUUCAAUUUUUUGUGGGCCUCUGCCCACUCUGAUGCGAGAAGCUCUGAAAGGUGCCUCAGGUUCCACUGUCUCGUC